rnacentral:rRNA from 1 species
UAAGGAAUAUCGGACAAUGCCCGCAAGGGUGAUCCAGCCAUGCCGCGUGCAGGAAGACGGCCCUAUGGGUUGUAAACUGCUUUUACACCGGAGAAAACCCCUGUUUGCGAACGGGGCUGAUAGUAUGGUGAGAAUAAGCAUCGGCUAACUUCGUGCCAGCAGCCGCGGUAAGACGAAGGAUGCAAGCGUUAUCCGGAUUCAUUGGGUUUAAAGGGAGCGUAGGUGGCCUUGUAAGUCAGUGGUGAAAUCUCUCGGCUUAACUGAGAAAUUGCCAUUGAUACUGCAGGGCUUGAGUACAGAUGCCGUUGGCGGAAUAUGACAUGUAGUGGUGAAAUACAUAGAGAUGUCAUAGAACACCGAUUGCGAAGGCAGCUGACGAAACUGUAACUGACACUGAGGCUCGAAAGUGUGGGGAUCAAACAG